rnacentral:lncRNA from 1 species
UAGGCAGGUGGGGCACAGGGCCAGAUGGGCGCAUCCGCCGAGUCACCGUUGCCAACCGCUCGACGCGGAGGUGGAGGCGAGGCGCAACCUCUGCUCUCCAACUAGCGCUGGCGGCUAGGAGCUAGGAAGGGAGGGAAGUGCGAGUGCCGGGUCGCCUGGCUGCUGCUGAAACUCUAAGGUUCGUUUUCCUUUGGUUAGUCUCUCAGAAUAAAAUUCUUAAGAUAACCUUACCAAACGCAGAGAGCUAGGGAAUGUCUCUUGUCUGUUUUGUUCUGAAGAAGAGUCGGUUCAUCAUCUUCUUUUUUAUUGUGCAUUAGCUAAUCAGAUUUGGGAGUAUGUGUCGGAUAGUUUGCAUAUUCAGCAGAACCAUAGUUUUCUUUCAAUAGGAAAUAUGUGGUUAAGUAAUAAAAAUUCCUAGUGCAUAACAUGGUGUGUCCUGCUCCUGCAACCUUGUGAGAGUUGUGGAAGUUGAGAAAUGCACUUUGUUUUCAUAAUUCAAUCCGGAGGAAUCUAGGGUUGCUGCUAUGGAAAGUGGCGAGUACUGCAGAGAACUGGAAAAUUCUCUGCCCAUCUGGAGCACGAGCGAAUCUGGAGAAUGAUGUGAAGAUGUUAAAGUCUUCGGCAAGGGCACCAAACAGAUUGCGCUGGAAAUGAUCUUUUGUUUGGAAGAGAGUUGGGGAAUGGCUGGAGUAACAAUGUUUUUGCUGCCCGGUUUUAUUUUCUGUUGGUCUUGGAAGCGCUGCUAGGAUAUUAGCUGGCUGGGGGGUCUAAAUUUUGAUGUAAUAAAAGGAUUUAUGUAACUUGGAUGCUAUCUGCCUUGCCACUGGUAUCAGGCUUGUUGGCCUUGAUGCUUGGGAAUGAAAGCCCUUAGAGCAUUUACAACCCAA